rnacentral:rRNA from 1 species
GAUGAACGCUGGCGGCGUGCCUAAUACAUGCAAGUCGAGCGAAGCGGGGACGGGUGAGGAACACGUGGAUAACCUCCUAUAAGACUGGGAUAACUUCGGGAAACCGGAGCUAAACCGGAUACUUAGAGAUGGUUCCGGGCUGCAUUAGCUAGUUGGUAGGGUAACGGCUUACCAAGGCCACGAUGCCUAGCCGACCUGAGAGGGUGAUCGGCCACACUGGAACUGAGACACGGUCCAGACUCCUACGGGAGGCAGCAGUGGGGAAUCUUCCGCAAUGGGCGAAAGCCUGACGGAGCAACGCCGCGUGAGUGAUGAAGGUCUUCGGAUCGUAAAACACUGUUAGUAGGGAAGCGGUACCUAAACAGAAAGCAACGGCUAACUACGUGCCAGCAGCCGCGGUAAUUC